ACCCAUGCAGAUGUAACAGGGUUAAACCUUGAAGUAGUCAUCUGAGACUUUCAUCUCACUGGCACCUGCCACUCCCCAGACCAUUCUGAAAAAAGGUGUGGAGAUUCUCAGAGGCAGACUUACAGAACCACUUUCUCCUCUCCCAGACAGUAGGCAAGACUGGGUUAGGAACACAGACAGAGAGAAGGCGGAAUGGCCACUCAGCCUGGAGCAAAAGUACAGUGGGAGGGAUGAGAUCUUCCUAGAGUCUUCCAAUCUGCAUAUGUGGUAAGAUCACAUGAGCACAUCUGCAUGAACACUUGCAGCCAGUGAAGUGUGGCCGACGACGAAGAAGACAACCUGCCUCCUUCACGCAGACCGAAUGGCAACGGCACCCCCGGGGGAGCCCCAGAGGAGCCGACCAACCUACCGUCUGCACUCUUGCUUGUGCUGUUUGCCUUUCGAAAGGGCUCGCUGCAUCGCGGCCAAUGCAUCUUCUCCUCCCAAGGCCAUGCCUGAUGGCUGAGGUCCUGUCCCAGAUACAGACCCUGUUGCCCACGGGUUUCUUUCUCUCCGUCGCUACCCUUUCUGGGGCCCCCUCCACUUCUCCAGCCCCACCCACCUCCAUGCCCAUUUCCAGGAAGGGUAGGACAGAGGGCAGCAUCAGCAAGCAUCUCUUCUUCAUUUGUGAAGCUUACACAUCCUGGGUG
rnacentral:lncRNA from 1 species